rnacentral:rRNA from 1 species
GGAGUUAGGAAAUGCAGGAGCGUUAAUAGCGUUCUUGCUUGACUAAGGCUCCAGAGGAAGCCACGGCUAACUCUGUGCCAGCAGCCGCGGUAAUACAGAGGCGGCAAGCGUUGUUCGGAAUUAUUGGGCGUAAAGAGCACGUAGGCGGCCUUGCAAGUCAGUUGUGAAAGCCUUCCGCUCAACGGAAGAAUGCCAGCUGAUACUACAGGGCUUGAGUACGGGAGGGGAGAGUG